GUUUGGCGGAGUGGGACCUGUCAGGAUGAACUGCUGCGCCUUUAUACUUCUCUUAGGUUCAGUCUUCACCCUUGGCCAUUGUGCUUUUCCAGCUGGUUCUUGUGAUGGAUACACAAACAAAAGUGACCCAUGGCGCAACCACUACUUCAGAAGUACCUUCAGUGGCUACCCAAACGACGAUGGAUAUUUUGUCAACAAAUGGUGGCGCUUCACAGGGAUUGGUGGAGACAGAAUCAUUAACUUCUGUAGUGGUGGCAGGAUGGGUGGGACCGAAUAUCCUAUUCAUGUUGGAUUUUCAUAUCCAACAACUGAAUCUGCAACUCCAACAAGAGGGACCGCAUAUGGUGUUCAUAGAUUCUGCAGUUCUUACGGGUUUAUAAUGAAUGUGGUCCUCUGUCCCGGGGAUUUCUACAUAUACAAACCAGAAAGUCAUCCACAUGGCAGUAUGGGUUAUGUAACCUGUA
rnacentral:lncRNA from 1 species